rnacentral:rRNA from 1 species
UACGGAGGGAGCUAGCGUUGUUCGGAAAUACUGGGCGUAAAGCGCACGUAGGCGGCGCAGCAAGUCAGGGGUGAAAUCCCGGGGCUCAACCCCGGAACUGCCCUUGAAACUGCAGUGCUAGAAUUCUGGAGAGGCGAGUGGAAUUCCGAGUGUAGAGGUGAAAUUCGUAGAUAUUCGGAAGAACACCAGUGGCGAAGGCGACUCGCUGGACAGACAUUGACGCUGAGGUGCGAAAGCGUGGGGAGCAAGCAGG